GACGAACGCUGGCGGCGUGGAUUAGGCAUGCAAGUCGAACGGUAUCAUCCUUUCGGGGGUGAGAGAGUGGCGAACUGGUGAGUAACACGUAGGUUAUCUACCCUCAAGACGGGGACAACCCAGGGAAACUUGGGCUAAUACCGGAUGUGAGCAACUUUUAGUUGUUUGAAAGGUGGCGUAAGCUGUCGCUUGGGGAUGAGCCUGCGUCCUAUUAGUUAGUUGGUGAGGUAACGGCUCACCUAGGCAAUGAUAGGUAGGCGGCCUUAACGGGUGGUCGCCCACACUGGGAUUGAGAUACGGCCCAGACUCCUACGGGAGGCAGCAGUCGAGAAUAGUCUACAAUGGUCGGAAGACUGAUAGUGCGACGCCGCGUGAACGAUGAAUCCCUUCGGGGUGUAAAGUUCUUUUAUAUGUGAGCAGUGCUUCUUAUAUUAACAGUAUGGGGAGAGAGAUAUUAGCAUAUGAAUAAGCAACGGCUAAUCCGUGCCAGCAGCUGCGGUAAAA
rnacentral:rRNA from 1 species